AACGGACGCUGGCGGCAGGCUUAACACAUGCAAGUCGAACGCACCUUUCGGGGUGAGUGGCAGACGGGUGAGUAACGCGUGGGAAUCUACCCUUCUCUACGGGAUAGCUCCGGGAAACUGGAAUUAAUACCGUAUACGUCCUGAGGGAGAAAGAUUUAUCGGGGAAGGAUGAGCCCGCGUUGGAUUAGCUAGUUGGUGGGGUAAAGGCCUACCAAGGCAACGAUCCAUAGCUGGUCUAAGAGGAUGAUCAGCCACAUUGGGACUGAGACACGGCCCAAACUCCUACGGGAGGCAGCAGUGGGGAAUAUUGGACAAUGGGCGCAAGCCUGAUCCAGCCAUGCCGCGUGAGUGAUGAAGGCCCUAGGGUUGUAAAGCUCUUUCAGUGGGGACGAUAAUGACGGUACCCACAGAAGAAGCCCCGGCUAACUUCGUGCCAGCCGCCGCGGUAAAAC
rnacentral:rRNA from 1 species